CCUACGGGAGGCAGCAGUGGGGGAUAUUGCACAAUGGGGGGAACCCUGAUGUAGCGACGCCGCGUGGGUGAAGGAGCGUUUCGGCGCGUAAAGCCCUAUCGGCAGGGAAGACGAUGACGGUACCUGACCAAGAAGCCCCGGCUAACUACGUGCCAGCAGCCGCGGUAAUACGUAGGGGGCAAGCGUUAUCCGGAUUUACUGGGUGUAAAGGGGGCGCAGACGGCAAUGCAAGCCAGGAGUGAAAUCCCGGAGCGGAACCACAGGACUGCUGUUGGAACUGCAUGGCUGGAGGGCAGGAGGGGCAGGCGGAAUUCCGAGUGUAGGGGGGAAAUGCGUAGAUAUUAGGAGGAACACCGGUGGCGAAGGCGGCCUGCUGGAAUGUGACUGACGUUGAGGCACGAAGGCGUGGGGAGCAAACAGGAUUAGAUACCCCAGUAGUC
rnacentral:rRNA from 1 species